rnacentral:rRNA from 1 species
GUGGGGAAUAUUGGACAAUGGGCGCAAGCCUGAUCCAGCCAUGCCGCGUGUGUGAAGAAGGCCUUUUGGUUGUAAAGCACUUUAAGCGAGGAGGAGGCUCCUUUAGUUAAUACCUAAAGAGAGUGGACGUUACUCGCAGAAUAAGCACCGGCUAACUCUGUGCCAGCAGCCGCGGUAAUACAGAGGGUGCGAGCGUUAAUCGGAUUUACUGGGCGUAAAGCGUGCGUAGGCGGCUUUUUAAGUCGGAUGUGAAAUCCCUGAGCUUAACUUAGGAAUUGCAUUCGAUACUGGAAAGCUAGAGUAUGGGAGAGGAUGGUAGAAUUCCAGGUGUAGCGGUGAAAUGCGUAGAGAUCUGGAGGAAUACCGAUGGCGAAGGCAGCCAUCUGGCCUAAUACUGACGCUGAGGUACGAAAGCAUGGGGAGCAAACAGGAUUAGAUACCCCUGUAGUCC